rnacentral:rRNA from 1 species
UACGUAGGUCCCGAGCGUUGUCCGGAUUUAUUGGGCGUAAAGCGAGCGCAGGUGGUUUAUUAAGUCUGAUGUAAAAGGCAGUGGCUCAACCAUUGUAUGCAUUGGAAACUGGUAGACUUGAGUGCAGGAGAGGAGAGUGGAAUUCCAUGUGUAGCGGUGAAAUGCGUAGAUAUAUGGAGGAACACCGGUGGCGAAAGCGGCUCUCUGGCCUGUAACUGACACUAAGGCUCGAAAGCGUGGGGAGCAAACAGG